AUUGAACGCUGGCGGCAGGCCUAACACAUGCAAGUCGAGCGGAUGAAGAGAGCUUGCUCUCUGAUUUAGCGGCGGACGGGUGAGUAAUGCCUAGGAAUCUGCCUGGUGGUGGGGGAUAACGUUCCGAAAGGAACGCUAAUACCGCAUACGUCCUACGGGAGAAAGCAGGGGACCUUCGGGCCUUGCGCUAUCAGAUGAGCCUAGGUCGGAUUAGCUAGUUGGUGAGGUAAUGGCUCACCAAGGCUACGAUCCGUAACUGGUCUGAGAGGAUGAGCAGUCGCACUGGAACUGAGACACGGUCCAGACUCCUACGGGAGGCAGCAGUGGGGAAUAUUGGACAAUGGGCGAAAGCCUGAUCCAGCCAUGCCGCGUGUGUGAAGAAGGUCUUCGGAUUGUAAAGCACUUUAAGUUGGGAGGAAGGGCAGUAAGUUAAUACCUUGCUGUUUUGACGUUACCGACAAAAUAAGCACCGGCUAACUUCGUGCCAGCCGCCGCCGUAAAAC
rnacentral:rRNA from 1 species